GUCCCGGGAGCCCGGCCUCGUGCGCCGCGCUUUGAGCAGCAGACUGCUCGACAAACACUGCGCCAAGAGCUCCUCAGCAGAAGCUCCUCGCAUCAGAUCCUCUGUGCUGGGAAUCCUCCCCUCUUGAGCACACUCUGUGCUCCUCUUCCAGUUACGGUGCAUGUGAAGCAAUGGUAUGGGAAAAUUGUUUGCAGAAGGAUGAAAAGGCUUUAUUGCCAAACUGUAAGUACAUGAUUUGAAAUGUUUAUGGUCAAGAGAAAAUAUUUCUACAGCAUCAUGUAAAGCAUGUAGAUACAUUUGCACAUGUGCAUUAACAUGUAAGAACAUGUGCCUCAGACACAUGUGCCCUCCUGGAACAGCUCAUGCUGGCCCCAUGCCUGCUUCCAAGCUUCCAUCAAGUCAGGGAGUGGAGCAAAGAGGGAAGGCAGCCCCUGCACUGUAGGGACCCUUAUGCACAGAGGCAUUGAGACUGCCUGUUCCUCUUGGAAGCUUCUGCUCUCAAGAGGCAGCUAGGUUUUUGGAGCUUCUCUGCUUCAUGUCUUGCUUCCCACCCUAGGGUUCCAGAUUCUGUUCUUCCCUAGUAUUGGCAAGGUUUUUUAUAGAUAGCUCUUGGAUACAUUUGGAAGUAAUGUUUACAAAUGGUGAGAGAGAAGGCAUCUGACAUUUUUUUCUAAACACAUGCCAAUGUUUGUCUUUUCCCCACUAAUUUCAAUAAUUUGGCCUAACACUUUUGUCACAUAUUCUGACUCUUUAUUCUGAUCCAUUUAUCUACUCUGGCAUCCCCACAUGGUUUUAAGUACUGGAGCUUUACUGUAUGUCUUGGUAUCAGGCCAAGCAAACCAUGUUAGUCUUAUUUAAAACUUUCUCAGCAAUUGAUGCAUAUUUGUUUAUCCUGAUGAAUUUUAGAACUUACCAGUACUGACAUCUUCACAGCAUUGUAUCCUGUCAACAACCUAGUCUGAACCUCAAUGGUUCAGGUUUCCUUUGCACAUACAGGCCCUGAGAACUCAUAUGUUAAUGAGAAAGACAUUCCGGGAAACCAGGAGGUGAGGAGACCAAGGAUUAGGCUCCACUCCUAUUAUGAAGAUGAACAGUUUUUAGAGUAUCAUGGAGUUGGAGAAGGUACUUCAAGGAUCUCUAUGGGGAACAAGAAGGAACAGCAAAGUUCCACCAUCCUGUGCCCUUUCUGUUCAGGUUUAUUGUUGUGAAUGAGAAUUUUUUUUUUUUUAACAUGUUGUGGAUCUAUCUAUCUGAUCACCUUAUUGAACUGAGAAUGGUUCUAUGGACUUGACUUUUCUUGGACUGACAACUGUACUGUCUGGAAAUGACAGUUUCUCCUUCCUUUCAGUAUUUGUGCCUGUCUAUCCCACAUCCCUGUACUGGUCAGGAUUUCCAGGACAAUAGUGAAUAAUAGUCGGGACAACAGGCUGGUUCUGAUUCCACUGUUCCUAACAUUCUACCAAGAAGCAUGUUUUUUUUCUAUUUUGGUAGUUUUAUGUUAGGUAGCCUUAUCAAGUUAGGACUUUUUUUUUUUUUAACCCAAGCUAAAGAAAGUACCCAAAAUAAAGAAAUUUUAUCAGGAACAGGUAUAAAUUUUAAGAAACGUAUUUCAACGCCUGCUAAAAUUACCACUUAUUUUUCUAUUAUGGCAACAAAUUACAUUAAUAGAUUUUCACUGUUAUUGUUUAUCCUGGGAGAAAGCAUACUUGUGAACUUUUUUAGGUACUGUGCUUUGGAACCAAAUUUGGAAGUGAGAUGAAAUGUCAGCUGUACUCUCCUGGUUAGGUAUGAUUUCAGGGUCAGGUAUGCCUGAUAAAUGAAGUGAGAUGCUUUAACUUUGUUCUAGAAUAGUUUCUACUGCAUGGGAAUGAUCUGUUCCUUGAGGAUUUGUCACAGUCUGCCCACAGUGGACUGGAUUUGGCAUGUAGGAUGUUAAUUUCUAUUUACUUUGCAAGAAAAAUACAGUUUAGCAAGCAACAGAAACAUACUGAACAUGAACCUCACCGUCCCUCUCUCAGCUGUAGCUCCUUCUGCGUCUGCAACCUGGCUUGUUCCCACGACAAAGGAACAUCAUAUUUUUUCAAAUCGUUUUUAAAAAAAUACACACAUAUCUGACCAUCUUCACUCAGCGCCUCUGAGAAAACAAUACAAAAACAGAUAAAGAGGCCAGCCUGGCCAACCCUGUCUCAAAAAAAAAAAAAA
rnacentral:lncRNA from 10 species